GACGAACGCUGGCGGCGUGCUUAACACAUGCAAGUCGAACGGAAAGGCCCUGCUUUUGUGGGGUGCUCGAGUGGCGAACGGGUGAGUAACACGUGAGUAACCUGCCCUUGACUUUGGGAUAACUUCAGGAAACUGGGGCUAAUACCGGAUAGGAGCUCCUGCUGCAUGGUGGGGGUUGGAAAGUUUCGGCGGUUGGGGAUGGACUCGCGGCUUAUCAGCUUGUUGGUGGGGUAGUGGCUUACCAAGGCUUUGACGGGUAGCCGGCCUGAGAGGGUGACCGGCUACAUUGGGAAUGAGAUACGGCCCAGACACCUACGGGAGGAAGCAAUGGGGAAUAUUGCACAAUGGGCGGAAGCCUCAUGCAGCAACGCAGCGUGCGGGAUGACGGCCUUCGGGUUGUAAACCGCUUUCGCCUGUGACGAAGCGUGAGUGACGGUAAUGGGUAAAGAAGCACCGGCUAACUACGU
rnacentral:rRNA from 1 species